GCCCCGCCGCGGGUCCGGAGCGGGGCGGGCGGCGAGCGCGGCGCUGCCCCUGCCCUGAGCAUCGGGGACCGUGUGAGGGCUAGGGCUUAAUAAGGCCUCCGGGAGGAUUACUUCAGACGCUGCCCAUCCAGUUCUUAACGCUGUUACAUCCACAACCCAGUGAAUUCCCGCUGAACUGUGGAAUUAAUGGAAUCCAAAAUAAAACAGAAUAAUUCUAUGGAUCCAGGCAGAUAUGCUGACUGAUUGUGGACCAUUGGGAUCUCUCCACUGGGUUG
rnacentral:lncRNA from 1 species